rnacentral:SRP_RNA from 1 species
GCCAGGCGUGGUGACGGGCGUCUGUAAUCCCAGCUACUCGGGAGGCUGAGACAGGAGAAUCACUUGAAUCCAGGAGGCGGAGGUUACAGUGAGCCGAGAUUGUGCCACUGCACUCCAGCCUGGGUGACAGAGUGAGAUUCUGUCUCAG